rnacentral:tRNA from 1 species
UGGGGAAUCGUCUAAUGGUAGGACACCGGACUUUGACUCCGUAUGUCCAGGUUCGAAUCCUGGUUCCCCAA